AAAAAUUUUACAUUGAACCAAGUAAACUUCGACCGACGAUGCUAUCGAACAUUACGAUCACGAUAGAAUCGAAUUCUGGAAUCGAAUUGUGGUAUCGUACGUUUAUCGUGUAAUGUUCGAUUUCAAAAUUCGAUUUCGAGAUAUAACCUUCACCACAUUUAUCUUGCCGAAUUUUUGUAUUGUCAAUCACUCAAUUUUUGGCAUAUUCCACAAUAUUAAUUAAGAUUUGACAGGCGCUAACAGACGUGGUUCUAAACGACUUAACAGGAUAAUUGUUUAUGAUCGAUGGAAGUCAUUCUAACCUCAACACAAGUGCUUUCCGAGACCGUUGGAACUUGGAACACACGAUUGUGAUGAAUAUAAGCAUGUAUCUAUACAUCCACGGGCCCCGCACUGCAUAACUUCCUUUGUAAUCCAAAUAAUAUAUCUUAAACAAAAUGAGAGACUACUAAACGAGAAUAUCUCGAUCUUUCCGACAAAUAAAGCAAAUA